rnacentral:lncRNA from 1 species
AGCCGACGCAGGCAGCCGCCGGGUGAAGUACGCAGGUACCGCAGGUACCCGGCGCCCGCCCGAUUUCAGGGCAAGUUACUGUUUUCAGAAUCCAAGGGGAAUCUAACACCUAAACAAUGCCACGAGAAAAGGAAGGAAAACGAAAAACUAAAGGAGCACUCCUGCCCAUCAUUCCAACUCUUAAAAAGUUCCUGAAAACGUAUGAGAAGUAUUGUGCACAGACUCAGACGUCUGUGUGUCCAGCCAUCAAAAGGGACUUGAAAACCAGCAUCAAUAAUGAACAAAUUCUCAGGAAGUUUGUACUUGUAAGACCUGAUGACUCCCCGCCAGGCAUCCUACCAAUUUCCUUGGAACCUUUGCUCAUGACAGUUCAGGAUGAGUGUUUCACUCUGGGGAGAGAGAUCUGCAUUUGGGGCCUUCAACUGAGCAACCCAGAGAUGGCCAGACUCAUUUGGAAAUGA